rnacentral:rRNA from 2 species
UACGUAGGGUCCGAGCGUUGUCCGGAAUUAUUGGGCGUAAAGAGCUCGUAGGCGGUUUGUCGCGUCUGCUGUGAAAUCCCGAGGCUCAACCUCGGGUCUGCAGUGGGUACGGGCAGACUGGAGUGCGGUAGGGGAGAAUGGAAUUCCUGGUGUAGCGGUGGAAUGCGCAGAUAUCAGGAGGAACACCGAUGGCGAAGGCAGUUCUCUGGGCCGUAACUGACGCUGAGGAGCGAAAGCGUGGGGAGCGAACAGG